GUGGGGAGGUGCUAACCUGCAGUCGAACGAUGAAGCCCAGCUUGCUGGGUGGAUUAGUGGCGAACGGGUGAGUAACACGUGAGUAACCUGCCCUUGACUUCGGGAUAACUCCGGGAAACCGGGGCUAAUACUGGAUAUGAGCCGUCCUCGCAUGGGGGUGGUUGGAAAGUUUUUCGGUCAGGGAUGGGCUCGCGGCCUAUCAGCUUGUUGGUGGGGUGAUGGCCUACCAAGGCGACGACGGGUAGCCGGCCUGAGAGGGCGACCGGCCACACUGGGACUGAGACACGGCCCAGACUCCUACGGGAGGCAGCAGUGGGGAAUAUUGCACAAUGGGCGCAAGCCUGAUGCAGCGACGCCGCGUGAGGGAUGAAGGCCUUCGGGUUGUAAACCUCUUUCAGCAGGGAAGAAGCGCAAGUGACGGUACCUGCAGAAGAAGCGCCGGCUAACUACGUGCCAGCAGCCGCGGUAAUACGUAGGGCGCAAGCGUUGUCCGGAAUUAUUGGGCGUAAAGAGCUCGUAGGCGGUUUGUCGCGUCUGGUGUGAAAACUCGAGGCUCAACCUCGAGCUUGCAUCGGGUACGGGCAGACUAGAGUGCGGUAGGGGAGACUGGAAUUCCUGGUGUAGCGGUGGAAUGCGCAGAUAUCAGGAGGAACACCGAUGGCGAAGGCAGGUCUCUGGGCCGCAACUGACGCUGAGGAGCGAAAGCAUGGGGAGCGAACAGGAUUAGAUACCCUGGUAGUCCAUGCCGUAAACGUUGGGCACCUAGGUGUGGGGCUCAUUCCACGAGUUCCGUGCCGCAGCAAACGCAUUAAGUGCCCGGCCUGGGGGAGUACGGCCGCAAGGCUAAAACUCAAAGGAAAUUGACGGGGGCCCGCACAAGCGGCGGAGCAUGCGGAUUAAUUCGAUGCAACGCGAAGAACCUUACCAAGGCUUGACAUGCACGAGAGCCACCCAGAGAUGGUGGUCUCUUUGGACCUCGUGCACGGGGGGUGCAUGGUUGCCGUCGCUCGGGGCGGGGAAAGGUUGGUUAAGUC
rnacentral:rRNA from 1 species